GGGGAAUAUUGGACAAUGGGCGCAAGCCUGAUCCAGCCAUGCCGCGUGGGUGAAGAAGGCCUUCGGGUUGUAAAGCCCUUUUGUUGGGAAAGAAAAGCAGCCGGCCAAUACCCGGUUGUUCUGACGGUACCCAAAGAAUAAGCGCCGGCUAACUACGUGCCAGCAGCCGCGGUAAUACGUAGGGCGCGAGCGUUGUCCGGAUUUAUUGGGCGUAAAGAGCUCGUAGGCGGUUUGUUGCGUCUGCUGUGAAAACGCGGGGCUUAACUUCGCGCGUGCAGUGGGUACGGGCAGGCUAGAGUGCGGUAGGGGAGAUUGGAAUUCCUGGUGUAGCGGUGGAAUGCGCAGAUAUCAGGAGGAACACCGAUGGCGAAGGCAGGUCUCUGGGCCGUUACUGACGCUGAGGAGCGAAAGCGUGGGGAGCGAACA
rnacentral:rRNA from 1 species